GGUGUGACUGCGUACCUUUUGUAUAAUGGGUCAGCGACUUAUAUUCUGUAGCAAGGUUAACCGUAUAGGGGAGCCGCAGGGAAACCGAGUCUUAACUGGGCGUUAAGUUGCAGGGUAUAGACCCGAAACCCGGUGAUCUAGCCAUGGGCAGGUUGAAGGUUGGGUAACACUAACUGGAGGACCGAACCGACUAAUGUUGAAAAAUUAGCGGAUGACUUGUGGCUGGGGGUGAAAGGCCAAUCAAACCGGGAGAUAGCUGGUUCUCCCCGAAAGCUAUUUAGGUAGCGCCUCGUGAACUCAUCUUCGGGGGUAGAGCACUGUUUCGGCUAGGGGGUCAUCCCGACUUACCAACCCGAUGCAAACUACGAAUACCGAAGAAUGUUAUCACGGGAGACACACGGCGGGUGCUAACGUCCGUCGUGAAGAGGGAAACAACCCAGACCGCCAGCUAAGGUCCCAAAGUCAUGGUUAAGUGGGAAACGAUGUGGGAAGGCACAGACAGCCAGGAUGUUGGCUUAGAAGCAGCCAUCAUUUAAAGAAAGCGUAAUAGCUCACUGGUCGAGUCGGCCUGCGCGGAAGAUGUAACGGGGCUAAACCAUGCACCGAAGCUGCGGCAGCGACACUAUGUGUUGUUGGGUAGGGGAGCGUUCUGUAAGCCUGCGAAGGUGGCCUGUGAGGGUUGCUGGAGGUAUCAGAAGUGCGAAUGCUGACAUAAGUAACGAUAAAGCGGGUGAAAAGCCCGCUCGCCGGAAGACCAAGGGUUCCUGUCCAACGUUAAUCGGGGCAGGGUGAGUCGACCCCUAAGGCGAGGCCGAAAGGCGUAGUCGAUGGGAAACAGGUUAAUAUUCCUGUACUUGGUGUUACUGCGAAGGGGGGACGGAGAAGGCUAUGUUAGCCGGGCGACGGUUGUCCCGGUUUAAGCAUGUAGGCUGGUUAUCCAGGCAAAUCCGGAUAAUCAAGGCUGAGGUGUGAUGACGAGGCACUACGGUGCUGAAGUAACAAAUGCCCUGCUUCCAGGAAAAGCCUCUAAGCAUCAGGUAACACGAAAUCGUACCCCAAACCGACACAGGUGGUCAGGUAGAGAAUACCAAGGCGCUUGAGAGAACUCGGGUGAAGGAACUAGGCAAAAUGGUGCCGUAACUUCGGGAGAAGGCACGCUGGUGUGUAGGUGA
rnacentral:rRNA from 2 species